UGGGGAAUAUUGCACAAUGGGCGCAAGCCUGAUGCAGCAACGCCGCGUGAACGAUGAAGGUCUUCGGAUCGUAAAGUUCUGUUGCAGGGGAAGAUAAUGACGGUACCCUGUGAGGAAGCACCGGCUAACUACGUGCCAGCAGCCGCGGUAAUACGUAGGGUGCGAGCGUUGUCCGGAAUUACUGGGCGUAAAGAGCUCGUAGGCGGUUUGUCACGUCGUCUGUGAAAUCCUAGGGCUUAACCCUGGACGUGCAGGCGAUACGGGCUGACUUGAGUACUACAGGGGAGACUGGAAUUUCUGGUGUAGCGGUGGAAUGCACAGAUAUCAGGAAGAACACCGAUGGCGAAGGCAGGUCUCUGGGUAGUAACUGACGCUGAGGAGCGAAAGCAUGGGUAGCGAACAGG
rnacentral:rRNA from 1 species